CCAAUAGCGUAUAUUAAAGUUGUUGCAGUUAAAAAGCUCGUAGUUGAAUUUCGGGAUCAGUUGAUCGGUCGUGCCUCGGUACGUACUGGUCAAAUUGAUUCCUACCUUCUGACGAACCACGAUGUCAUUAAUUUGGUGUCGCGGGAAAUCAGGACUGUUACUUUGAAAAAAUUAGAGUGUUUAAAGCAGGCUCGCGCUUGAAUACAUUAGCAUGGAAUAAUGAAAUAGGACGUUUGAUUCUAUUUUGUUGGUUUCUAGGAUCGACGUAAUGAUUAAUAGGGAUAGUUGGGGGCAUUAGUAUUCAAUUGUCAGAGGUGAAAUUCUUGGAUUUAUUGAAGACUAACUACUGCGAAAGCAUUUGCCAAGGAUGUUUUCAUUAAUCAAGAACGAAAGUUAGGGGAUCGAAGACGAUCAGAUACCGUCGUAGUCUUAACCAUAAACUAUGCCGACUAGGGAUCGGAUGAUGUUAAUUUUUUAAUGACUCAUUCGGCGCCUUACGGGAAACCAAAUGUUUGGGUU
rnacentral:rRNA from 1 species